rnacentral:rRNA from 1 species
UACAGAGGUCCCGAGCGUUGUUCGGAUUCACUGGGCGUAAAGGGUGCGUAGGUGGCAUGGUAAGUUUGAUGUGAAAGCUCAGGGCUCAACCCUGAAAUGGCAUUGAAUACUACUGUGCUGGAGGUUUGGAGGGGGGACUGGAAUUCUUGGUGUAGCAGUGAAAUGCGUAGAUAUCCGGAGGAACACCAGUGGCGAAAGCGGCCUUCUGGACCAUUUCUGACGCUCAGACGCGAAAGCUAGGGUAGCAAACGGG